rnacentral:rRNA from 1 species
AAAUUGAAGAGUUUGAUCAUGGCUCAGAUUGAACGCUGGCGGCAGGCCUAACACAUGCAAGUCGAGCGGUAGCACAGAGAGCUUGCUCUCGGGUGACGAGCGGCGGACGGGUGAGUAAUGUCUGGGAAACUGCCUGAUGGAGGGGGAUAACUACUGGAAACGGUAGCUAAUACCGCAUAACGUCGCAAGACCAAAGUGGGGGACCUUCGGGCCUCAUGCCAUCAGAUGUGCCCAGAUGGGAUUAGCUAGUAGGUGGGGUAACGGCUCACCUAGGCGACGAUCCCUAGCUGGUCUGAGAGGAUGACCAGCCACACUGGAACUGAGACACGGUCCAGACUCCUACGGGAGGCAGCAGUGGGGAAUAUUGCACAAUGGGCGCAAGCCUGAUGCAGCCAUGCCGCGUGUGUGAAGAAGGCCUUCGGGUUGUAAAGCACUUUCAGCGGGGAGGAAGGCGGUGAGGUUAAUAACCUCACCGAUUGACGUUACCCGCAGAAGAAGCACCGGCUAACUCCGUGCCAGCAGCCGCGGUAAUACGGAGGGUGCAAGCGUUAAUCGGAAUUACUGGGCGUAAAGCGCACGCAGGCGGUCUGUCAAGUCGGAUGUGAAAUCCCCGGGCUCAACCUGGGAACUGCAUUCGAAACUGGCAGGCUAGAGUCUUGUAGAGGGGGGUAGAAUUCCAGGUGUAGCGGUGAAAUGCGUAGAGAUCUGGAGGAAUACCGGUGGCGAAGGCGGCCCCCUGGACAAAGACUGACGCUCAGGUGCGAAAGCGUGGGGAGCAAACAGGAUUAGAUACCCUGGUAGUCCACGCCGUAAACGAUGUCGAUUUGGAGGUUGUGCCCUUGAGGCGUGGCUUCCGGAGCUAACGCGUUAAAUCGACCGCCUGGGGAGUACGGCCGCAAGGUUAAAACUCAAAUGAAUUGACGGGGGCCCGCACAAGCGGUGGAGCAUGUGGUUUAAUUCGAUGCAACGCGAAGAACCUUACCUGGUCUUGACAUCCACAGAACUUAGCAGAGAUGCUUUGGUGCCUUCGGGAACUGUGAGACAGGUGCUGCAUGGCUGUCGUCAGCUCGUGUUGUGAAAUGUUGGGUUAAGUCCCGCAACGAGCGCAACCCUUAUCCUUUGUUGCCAGCGGUCCGGCCGGGAACUCAAAGGAGACUGCCAGUGAUAAACUGGAGGAAGGUGGGGAUGACGUCAAGUCAUCAUGGCCCUUACGACCAGGGCUACACACGUGCUACAAUGGCAUAUACAAAGAGAAGCGACCUCGCGAGAGCAAGCGGACCUCAUAAAGUAUGUCGUAGUCCGGAUUGGAGUCUGCAACUCGACUCCAUGAAGUCGGAAUCGCUAGUAAUCGUAGAUCAGAAUGCUACGGUGAAUACGUUCCCGGGCCUUGUACACACCGCCCGUCACACCAUGGGAGUGGGUUGCAAAAGAAGUAGGUAGCUUAACCUUCGGGAGGGCGCUUACCACUUUGUGAUUCAUGACUGGGGUGAAGUCGUAACAAGGUAACCGUAGGGGAACCUGCGGUUGGAUCACCUCCUUA